AUCUCUUGUCAUGCACCCCAUGAACCCAAUAUCAGCUACCUGCACCUGCGCACAUGUGUUAGGACACCCUGUCCAGUGCAUUCUCACCGGCCGCCUCACCGACACUAUCCUUUGCACCUCCUCAGUCACCUUCAUGGCUCUAGCUUUUGUCUCAAUUAUAGCUUGCCCACAAAACUGGCUGCCUGUACAUGCCACCAAACCUUUCAUUAGUAGAGGUGGUUCUGGUGAGAACUUGUGUUUCAAUAGUGGCUCUUCAAGUAAGGCCUCAAUCUUUGAGUUCUCAAUGUUGGGAAUGAUGAUGUUUUGCUCCACAGUGAGCCUGAGU
rnacentral:lncRNA from 1 species